rnacentral:hammerhead_ribozyme from 1 species
AUUCAUCUGACGAGUCCCGAAUAGGAAGAAACGUGCGUCCUGAAU